rnacentral:lncRNA from 1 species
AGAAGAAGAAGAAGAAGAAGAUGGAGUCCUAAUAGGUUUUCUCCUUCUCGAAGGCCUCCACUGGUACACGGUGGUCACCGCGAGCAGCAUCCCGGCGCCGGAGCCGACGGCGCCCAUCAGGUCGGCGGCCACCGUCAGCGCGCCGACGCACACGCCGCCGAGCGCCGCCGCCGCCGGGAUGUACCGCUCCAGCUCCCUCUGCAUGCUCGCCUCCCGCAUCCCCGGCAUCACCAUCUGCUGCUCCCGGAGCCGCCUCGCCACGUCCCGGGACGACGACCCGGACACCACCACCCACGCCCUGGACAGCGCCGCGCACGCCGCGAGCACGAACGCCACGUACAUCGCCGCGUGGAGCGGGUUCGCCGCCGCGCUCGCCGCGCUCGCCGGCGCGGUCACGUAGUAGGCGAUGCCGCCGACGGGGACGGCGGCGUCCGGCGUCCACUUGCCGAGCAGGUCGACGAGGAGGCUCCCGCCGAACCGGCGGUACAGCGCCUGGGAGACGACGUAGAGCGACGAGACCGCCGAGGAGAGCAGCACGACGGGCAUGCCGGAGGUGUAGAGGAGGCGGACGCUGUAGGCGCCGCCGCGGUGGCUGCGCGGCGCGUUCCGCGGCCGCACCGGCAGCGCCACGCGCACGCCCUGGAGGUAGACGGCGGCGAGGAAGACGGCGCAGGUGGCGGCCAGGCCGCGCAGGUCGGGGAGGCUGCCGCCGCCGCCGCCGCGGAAGAAGGCCUCGCGCACCGCGGACAGCUUUCUGGCCCUGGUCGCCAGCAGGUGCGCCGCGGCGGUGACCGCGCCCACGAACUCGGCGCCGCGGCCGCGGUCCAUCGUCGCCGGGCUGAGCGCCCUGGUGACGACGCCCUCGCAGGUGUUGGCGGCGGUGAACAGGGAGAUGCCGGAGCCGAACCCGUACCCCUUCUGGAGGAGCUCGUCGAGGAAGAUGGCCACCAUGCCGCCGAGCACGAGCUGCAGCACGACGAGCACGGCGUUGCCGGCGCCGAGCACGCCGACGCUCCCGUACGCCCCGGACAGCACGUACGCCGUCGCCUCGCCGGCGGUGAUCACGAUCGAGAGCAACUUCUGCGCCGCGCUCCUGAAAAGAAAUCACGUCAAACACAUGCAAGAACGCAACGCCAUGAUCUGAUGAACUCGAUCGAUCUACUCACAGGAGGGCGCGGUCGUCGGGAUUGGAGGAGUCGGCGCGGACGAGGUUGGAGCCGACGAGGAGCUGGACGAGGGUGCCGGCGGUGA